AGCCCAGCGCAAGUCCGAGCCCAGGUCCCCUCCUCCCACCCGGACAUGUGGACCCCGGCCCAGGUGAGGCUCCAGAAUUCCUGUGGUGAAGGGGGCGGGGCGUCUGCUGGGAACCUGGAUGUAGCUCCUGGGGCCUCCUUGCACCUGCUGGGGACCCGGAUGGAGCUCCUGGGGGCCCCGUGCGCCUGCUGGGGACCCGGAUGGAGCACCAGGGAGCCCCGUGCACCUGCUGGGGACUGGGAUGGAGCUUCUGGGAGACCUGGAUGGAGCCCUGGGAGACCCAGAUGAAGCCCUGGGGACCCGGAUGGAACCUCUGGAGACCCAGAUGGAGCCCCUGGGAGACCCGGAUGGAGCCCCCAGGGGUCCUGUGCACCUACUGGAGACCAGGAUGGAGCCCUGGGGGUCCCUGUGCACCUGCUGGAGACCCGGAUGGAGCUCCUGGUGCAGACUCAGGGCCCCUGUGCACCUGCUGGGGACCCGGAUGGAGUUACUUUUUGCCCAUGGCCCUAACCUCGUCCCCUCCCCACAGAUCAGUACCCACGCCCUGACGGAAAUCCCGCCCUCGCCGACCCCCAAGGUAAGGCUGCUGCCUUCUGGAAGCUUCUACCACACUCACAGGACCAGUCCCUGGCCCCAGUGGUGGGGGGAGGAGGAGGGCAGGGCUCUAUCCUGGUCUCCCCAGGGGUCUCUGACUGACCGUCCCCCUCCCCCAGGGAGCACAGUAGCCCGAGUGCUGACCCCCGUGGCGUCCCUGGUGCUGCUGGCCCUGCUGGGGGCUGGGGUCUCCUACUUCCGGUCACCCCGGGCCCGGAGCUGCUUCCGGAGGAGCCAACCUCCAAGCGCCUGA
rnacentral:lncRNA from 1 species